rnacentral:rRNA from 1 species
CUGGCCUUGACAUCCUGCGAACUUUCUAGAGAUAGAUUGGUGCCUUCGGGAACGCAGUGACAGGUGCUGCAUGGCCGUCGUCAGCUCGUGUCGUGAGAUGUUGGGUUAAGUCCCGUAACGAGCGCAACCCCUAUCCCUAGUUGCUAGCAGUUCGGCUGAGAACUCUAGGGAGACUGCCGGUGACAAACCGGAGGAAGGUGGGGAUGACGUCAGGUCAUCAUGGCCCUUACGGCCAGGGCCACACACGUGCUACAAUGGUGCGUACAGAGGGCUGCAAACCCGCGAGGGGGAGCCAAUCUCACAAAACGCGUCGUAGUCCGGAUCGCAGUCUGCAACUCGACUGCGUGAAGUCGGAAUCGCUAGUAAUCGUGAAUCAGAAUGUCACGGUGAAUACGUUCCC